UAGCGAAAUUCCUUGUCGGGUAAGUUCCGACCCGCACGAAUGGCGUAACGACUUGGGCACUGUCUCAACAUGGGACCCGGCGAAAUUGUAGUAUGUGUGAAGAUGCACAUUACCCGCGAUAGGACGGAAAGACCCCGUAGAGCUUUACUGUAGUUUAACAUUGGAUUUCGGUAACAUAUGUACAGGAUAGGUGGGAGGCGAAGAACCAGGGACGCCAGUUUCUGGGGAGCCGACCUUGGGAUACCACUCUUGUGUUAUUGGAGUUCUAACGAAUUGCCGUGAACCGGGAUUCGGACAGUGUUAGAUGGGCAGUUUGACUGGGGCGGUCGCCUCCCAAAGAGUAACGGAGGCGCCCAAAGGUUCCCUCAGCGCGGCCGGAAAUCGCGCGAAGAGUGUAAAGGCAGAAGGGAGCUUGACUGAGAGCCAAACACGGCGAUCAGGUACGAAAGUAGGGCUUAGUGAUCCGGUGGCAUCCAAGUGGAAGGGCCAUCGCUCAACGGAUAAAAGCUACCCUGGGGAUAACAGGCUAAUCUCUCCCAAGAGUCCAUAUCGACGGGGAGGUUUGGCACCUCGAUGUCGGCUCAUCACAUCCUGGGGCUGAAGUCGGUCCCAAGGGUUGGGCUGUUCGCCCAUUAAAGUGGUACGUGAGCUGGGUUCAGAACGUCGUGAGACAGUUCGGUCCCUAUCCAUCGCGGGCGCAAGAGAUUUGAAGGGGGCUGCUCCUAGUACGAGAGGACCGGAGUGGACGAACCAAUGGUGUACCAAUUAUCUCGCCAGAGGUAUAGUUGGGUAGCUACGUUCGGAAAGGAUAAACGCUGAAAGCAUCUAAGCGUGAAACCAGCCUUAAGAUGAGAUCUCUCAUAGAGUAAUCUAGUAAGACACCUUGGAGAAGACGAGGUUGAUAGGUCGGGAGUGUAAGUACAGUAAUGUAUUCAGCGGACCGAUACUAAUAUGUCGAGGGCUUGACUUA
rnacentral:rRNA from 1 species